CUUGUCUUGUUGCUAUUAUUGCAACAUAAUGUUUUCUAAAUUCAUAUUUUAAUAAUUUAUAUUACCUACUAUUGCAAACUUCCUGGUUUAAAACAACAGAAAUUUGAAACCUGCUUCCUUGGGUCAUAAUGAAAAAUCAGGAGGACUGUUCUUCCUCUGGAGAUAUUCAUAAAGAGCUCAUGGUUUGUCACUUCUAGUUUCUGGUGGAUGCCAGCAUUCUGUGGCUUGUGGCUGCAUCCCUCCCAUCUCUGCCUCUGUGGUUACACUGCCUUCUCUGACUCUACCUGUGUCAAACUUCCCUCUCUGCCUUUCUCUUAUAAAACACUCCUAGUGCCUUUCAGAGCCCACCUGGGUAAUCCAGGAUGUUCUCCCUAUCUCAAAAUUCUUAAUUCCAUCAGUAAAUUCUUUUUGCCAUAGGUAACCUUUAAAAAUUCCAGAGGUCAGGACCCAAUGCAUUUGGGAGUCAUAAUUCAGUUUACCACGACGGCUAUCAGAAUGGGGCCUGGGCCCACCCUUCCCCCAGGUUUAAUCCUGGUUCUGCACGGAAUGAGGUUUCAGUGCUUUGUCACAUACAAAAUGGGAUGGGAAUCCAUGGAGUUCUACCAAGAUAUUUCCCAAUAGGUCACUAGAUGUGGGUUAUGCUGGGACUACACCAUUUUGAAUGCCUGUUUAUAAAGAAAGGGAAAUUUAUCUUGUGGUAUCAAGGCUGUUUCAGAGAUUCAUUCUUCAGCAUACCUCUUUGGACUGAGAAAGAGGGAUCAUUUGAAAAAUACAUUGAGAAAUGCAACUACCAGUUCUCCUGGAGACUAUUUAGUCUCAUGUGUUUGGAAUGCAGCAUUCACUGAGAGAACCAGCAGAGCCCUGACAGAGUAGAAUUUACUUUGGGACAAAGGUGGGA
rnacentral:lncRNA from 1 species